GAUGAAGAACGUAGCGAAAUGCGAUAAGUAGUGUGAAUUGCAGAAUUCAGUGAAUCAUCGAAUCUUUGAACGCACAUUGCGGCCAUAGGUAUUCCUUUGGCCAUGCCUGUUCGAGCGUCAUUUACACCCUCAAGCCUAGCUUGGUGUUGGGCGUCUGUCCCGCCGUUCUCGCGCGCGGACUCGCCUCAAAGUCAUUGGCGGCGGUCGUGCCGGCCCCCUCGCGCAGCACAUUUGCGCUUCUCGGAGGCCCGGUGGAUCCGCGCUCCAGCAAGACCUUUCACGACUUGACCUCGGAUCAGGUAGGGAUACCCGCUGAACUUAAGCAUAUCAAUAAGCGGAGGA
rnacentral:misc_RNA from 1 species